rfam:Picea glauca, whole genome shotgun sequence.
UGUGCCGUGGUGUAGUUGGUUAUCCCGUCAGUCUAAUACACUGAAGGUCUCCGGUUCAAUUCCUGGCAGCGCCA